UACGUAGGGUGCGAGCGUUAAUCGGAAUUACUGGGCGUAAAGCGUGCGCAGGCGGCUUUGCAAGACAGAUGUGAAAUCCCCGGGCUCAACCUGGGAACUGCAUUUGUGACUGCAAGGCUAGAGUACGGCAGAGGGGGAUGGAAUUCCGCGUGUAGCAGUGAAAUGCGUAGAUAUGCGGAGGAACACCAAUGGCGAAGGCAAUCCGCUGGGCCUGUACUGACGCUCAUGCACGAAAGCGUGGGGAGCAAACAGG
rnacentral:rRNA from 1 species